AUAAAAUCUGGAGGGGUGGCAGAGUGGUUAAUUGCACCGGUCUUGAAAAUCGGUAAGGGUUUAAACUCUUCCAGGGUUCGAAUCCCUGUCCCUCCGAUAGCUACGCCCUGAAUUGAACAGGGGACC
rnacentral:sRNA from 1 species